AACGAACGCUGGCGGCAGGCCUAACACAUGCAAGUCGAACGCCCCGCAAGGGGAGUGGCAGACGGGUGAGUAACGCGUGGGAACGUGCCUUUCGGUUCGGAAUAGUCCCGGGAAACUGGGGUUAAUACCGGAUACGUCCUUCGGGAGAAAGAUUUAUCGCCGAAAGAUCGGCCCGCGUCUGAGUAGCUAGUUGGCGGUGUAAUGGACCACCAAGGCGACGAUCAGUAGCUGGUCUGAGAGGAUGAUCAGCCACACUGGGACUGAGACACGGCCCAGACUCCUACGGGAGGCAGCAGUGGGGAAUAUUGGACAAUGGGCGCAAGCCUGAUCCAGCCAUGCCGCGUGAGUGAUGAAGGCCCUAGGGUUGUAAAGCUUUUUCGGCGGGGACGAUAAUGACGGCACCCGCAGAAGAAGCCCCGGCUAACUUCGUGCCAGCCGCCGCAGUAACAC
rnacentral:rRNA from 1 species